GGAACACGAGUCAGUCCCAUGAAGACCAAGUCUGCCAAGCUGUCACAUCACAGGAAGGGUGCCUGUGAGGAGGGCAGCAGCCACAGCCUUUUGUGGCUUCAAUGCCACCAUGACCACAUGGCUGCUCUGCUGUGUGGCUCUUUGUCUCCUGAAUGCAGGCUUUUCUGAUGACGAAGUUAUCCAGGUGCCAAGACAUCUCAUCAAAUGGAAAGGACAGGGAGCAAACAUGAGCUGUGUCCCAAAAAGGGGACACACUGCUGUUUACUGGUAUCAACAAAAUCAGAACAAAGAGUUGAAGUUUUUGAUUUAUUUUCGCAACAGAAAAGAUAUGGAAAAAAUGAACAUGUUCGAGAAACAGUUCUCAGCUGAAUGUCCCCAAGACUCACUCUGCAGACUGGAAAUCAAGUCCUCUGAACUAGAAGACUCAGCCCUGUAUCUCUGUGCUAGCAGUCAGUACACAGUGCUGAAAUGUUCGUUCCUCAGAGUGCACAAACCCCCAUGGAGCCAGCUCAGGAAGCAGCUGAUGAGAUAGGU